UUCAGAAUUGAUGGCCUCUCUGAAUCACUGAACAACAGAUGAGAAAACUGCAGAAUCUGUGAUUAGAUUUCCGCUGUGUUUCUUUACUCGCUUUACUACAAUAAAAUACAGUUCUUUAAAGAAAGAUUGAUGGGCAGCAGCCUAGUGGAAGAACUUGUUUUGGAAGCAAAACAAAAACUUUUCACUUGCAGGCCUGGUGAGAGAUGAUCAUGGCAGACAGGGAAUUCUAAAUGUCCUGUUGUCUUGUUGCUGAGGAGGUCCCACCAUUUGUGAAACUCGUGUUUUAAUAUCUGAGAAAUAAAAGAAAUCCCUAUAGAAGGGGUGAGAGACCAAGGCAAUGGACUGCUACCCGUCUCUUGAAUGAAGGGUCUGUCAAAGCAGCCAAUUUUCUGUGUUAUAGGGCAACAUCACAUACUUUUGAUUUCAUUAUUUAGUAGUAGUAUAAAAAGGGCAAUAAAUCGAGUUAUAAAAGUAGAUUAGGGUUAUGGUAUCACAAGAGAGUUUGUGUGGACUUGAAAGUAUGGUAAACAGUCAUCUCUGAUUUGAUGGGGUGGAACAGUUUCCUGCAUGUGUAGCAAUGCAGGACAGUAAGGAGUGUAGAGAUGACAUCUGAGGCCAGAGUAAGAUCAUCAUAUCAGAACCUAGCUGAU